UUCAUAAAAGCACGUGCCGUAGUAAAAAAGUCGAAUGACGUUUGCUUUCGUGCUGUCAAUUUCACCCUUGCUCUACCCGCUCUACCCAAGGCUACAGAACUCCGCUCUACCUUGCAAUCCAGUGAUGAGGACUGCCGUCAUUCUUUUUUGUCUGGUGGCUGUCGCUGCCAAGCCUCAGCUGGGAACCUUCAGCGCGCGCAAUUUCGAUGCUCGGGGCCGCCCCAUACCAAACAUCGGCUUCACUCUGUCUCGGGAGCAAAUCGAGCGAGUCAUUGACGACAUCAAGCUCCCACCGGAAGAAUUUGAACCGGAGAACUGAGACAGUAGCGGUGCCUGAAUCUUUGGACUGAAUAAUCUGGAACUGAACGGUGACUCAAGCUGUAUCCGCCUGUGAAACUGAAAUACAUGGCCACUACGAUUCGACCAAAAUAGGUACUAUUGUAGUCACAAUCAUGCUUAGUGGUGAUCGAUAUUUUUGAUAAGUGAAAUAAUCCAUUUUCGGAUA